rnacentral:rRNA from 1 species
AUUGAACGCUGGCGGCAGGCCUAACACAUGCAAGUCGAGCGGAUGAAGGGAGCUUGCUCCUGGAUUCAGCGGCGGACGGGUGAGUAAUGCCUAGGAAUCUGCCUGGUAGUGGGGGAUAACGUCCGGAAACGGGCGCUAAUACCGCAUACGUCCUGAGGGAGAAAGUGGGGGAUCUUCGGACCUCACGCUAUCAGAUGAGCCUAGGUCGGAUUAGCUAGUUGGUGGGGUAAAGGCCUACCAAGGCGACGAUCCGUAACUGGUCUGAGAGGAUGAUCAGUCAAACUGGAACUGAGACGCGGUCCAGGUUCCUACGGGAGGCAGCAGUUGGGAAUAUUGGACAAUGGGCGAAAGCCUGAUCCAGCCGUGCCGCGUGUGUGAAGAAGGUCUUCGGAUUGUAAAACACUUUAAGUUGGGAGGAAGGGCAGUAAGUUAAUACCUUGCUGUUUUGACGUUACCAACAGAAUAAGCACCGGCUAACUUCGUG